UGCCAAAUUUGUGUCGGAAGAUGACAAGAUUGAUUUUGCCUCUCCAUGACAAUUUUGCUUCAUGGAAAUCUUCUCUUCCAUGGAGUAGAUCUAUGGAGAGGCACAUCA